ACAGGAUCCUGCGGAGACGCGGGAGUGCCUUCGGGAACUGUAAGACAGGUGCUGCAUGGCUGUCGUCAGCUCGUGUUGUGAAAUGUUGGGUUAAGUCCCGCAACGAGCGCAACCCUUAUCCUUGUUUGCCAGCGAGUAAUGUCGGGAACUCCAGGGAGACUGCCGGUGAUAAACCGGAGGAAGGUGGGGACGACGUCAAGUCAUCAUGGCCCUUACGAGUAGGGCUACACACGUGCUACAAUGGCGCAUACAGAGGGCGGCGAGCUAGCGAUAGUGAGCGAAUCCCAAAAAGUGCGUCGUAGUCCGGAUUGGAGUCUGCAACUCGACUCCAUGAAGUCGGAAUCGCUAGUAAUCGUGGAUCAGAAUGCCACGGUGAAUACGUUCCCGGGCCUUGUACACGCCGCCCGUCACACCAUGGGAGUGGGCUGCAAAAGAAGCAGGUAGUUUAACCUUCGGGAGGACGCUUGCCACUUUGUGGUUCAUGACUGGGGGAAAGUCGUAACAAGGUAACCACUUUCCC
rnacentral:rRNA from 1 species